CAAUGUGGGUUGAAAGCAGAGGCACAUUGGUUUAGCAGAGAGGGAGAGGACGACGAGGUUUGAAAGCGGAGGGGCGAUAGUUAGGCGAAGAGUUUGAGGUUACGGAUGUUGUGCGUAUGAAGAAGAGAAGACGGUGGGUUAUUGAGAGGAGGGGAGACUAUGAAUAGUCUCUUUUUUUUUAUGAAGAAGAAAAUUCUCUUUUUU
rnacentral:lncRNA from 1 species